rnacentral:tRNA from 1 species
GGGAAGGUGGCUCAGUGGUAGGGUGCUUGCCUUGCAUGCAUGAGGGCCUGAGUUCGAUUCCUUAGCACCCA